rnacentral:rRNA from 1 species
AGAGUUUGAUCAUGGCUCAGAUUGAACGCUGGCGGCAGGCCUAACACAUGCAAGUCGAGCGGUAGCACAGAGAGCUUGCUCUCGGGUGACGAGCGGCGGACGGGUGAGUAAUGUCUGGGAAACUGCCUGAUGGAGGGGGAUAACUACUGGAAACGGUAGCUAAUACCGCAUAACGUCGCAAGACCAAAGUGGGGGACCUUCGGGCCUCAUGCCAUCAGAUGUGCCCAGAUGGGAUUAGCUAGUAGGUGGGGUAACGGCUCACCUAGGCGACGAUCCCUAGCUGGUCUGAGAGGAUGACCAGCCACACUGGAACUGAGACACGGUCCAGACUCCUACGGGAGGCAGCAGUGGGGAAUAUUGCACAAUGGGCGCAAGCCUGAUGCAGCCAUGCCGCGUGUGUGAAGAAGGCCUUCGGGUUGUAAAGCACUUUCAGCGGGGAGGAAGGCGAUAAGGUUAAUAACCUUGUCGAUUGACGUUACCCGCAGAAGAAGCACCGGCUAACUCCGUGCCAGCAGCCGCGGUAAUACGGAGGGUGCAAGCGUUAAUCGGAAUUACUGGGCGUAAAGCGCACGCAGGCGGUCUGUCAAGUCGGAUGUGAAAUCCCCGGGCUCAACCUGGGAACUGCAUUCGAAACUGGCAGGCUAGAGUCUUGUAGAGGGGGGUAGAAUUCCAGGUGUAGCGGUGAAAUGCGUAGAGAUCUGGAGGAAUACCGGUGGCGAAGGCGGCCCCCUGGACAAAGACUGACGCUCAGGUGCGAAAGCGUGGGGAGCAAACAGGAUUAGAUACCCUGGUAGUCCACGCCGUAAACGAUGUCGAUUUGGAGGUUGUGCCCUUGAGGCGUGGCUUCCGGAGCUAACGCGUUAAAUCGACCGCCUGGGGAGUACGGCCGCAAGGUUAAAACUCAAAUGAAUUGACGGGGGCCCGCACAAGCGGUGGAGCAUGUGGUUUAAUUCGAUGCAACGCGAAGAACCUUACCUGGUCUUGACAUCCACAGAACUUUCCAGAGAUGGAUUGGUGCCUUCGGGAACUGUGAGACAGGUGCUGCAUGGCUGUCGUCAGCUCGUGUUGUGAAAUGUUGGGUUAAGUCCCGCAACGAGCGCAACCCUUAUCCUUUGUUGCCAGCGGUCCGGCCGGGAACUCAAAGGAGACUGCCAGUGAUAAACUGGAGGAAGGUGGGGAUGACGUCAAGUCAUCAUGGCCCUUACGACCAGGGCUACACACGUGCUACAAUGGCAUAUACAAAGAGAAGCGACCUCGCGAGAGCAAGCGGACCUCAUAAAGUAUGUCG